rnacentral:rRNA from 1 species
UACAGAGGAUGCAAGCGUUAUCCGGAAUGAUUGGGCGUAAAGCGUCUGUAGGUGGCUUUUAAGUCCGCCGUCAAAUCCCAGGGCUCAACUCUGGACAGGCGGUGGAAACUCCAAGCUGGAGUACGGUAGGGGCAGAGGGAAUUUCCGGGUGGAGCGGUGAAAUGCGUAGAGAUCGGAAAGAACACCAACGGCGAAAGCAACUCUGCUGGGCCGACACUGACACUGAGAGACGAAAGCUAGGGGGAGCGAAUGGG